GCUCAGGAUGAACGCGGGCGGCGUGCCUAUACAUGCAAGUCGAGCGAACGGACGAGAAGCUUGCUUCUCUGAUGUUAGCGGCGGACGGGUGAGUAACACGUGGAUAACCUACCUAUAAGACUGGGAUAACUUCGGGAAACCGGAGCUAAUACCGGAUAAUAUUUUGAACCGCAUGGUUCAAAAGUGAAAGACGGUCUUGCUGUCACUUAUAGAUGGAUCCGCGCUGCAUUAGCUAGUUGGUAAGGUAACGGCUUACCAAGGCAACGAUGCAUAGCCGACCUGAGAGGGUGAUCGGCCACACUGGAACUGAGACACGGUCCAGACUCCUACGGGAGGCAGCAGUAGGGAAUCUUCCGCAAUGGGCGAAAGCCUGACGGAGCAACGCCGCGUGAGUGAUGAAGGUCUUCGGAUCGUAAAACUCUGUUAUUAGGGAAGAACAUAUGUGUAAGUAACUGUGCACAUCUUGACGGUACCUAAUCAGAAAGCCACGGCUAACUACGUGCCAGCAGCCGCGGUAAUACGUAGGUGGCAAGCGUUAUCCGGAAUUAUUGGGCGUAAAGCGCGCGUAGGCGGUUUUUUAAGUCUGAUGUGAAAGCCCACGGCUCAACCGUGGAGGGUCAUUGGAAACUGGAAAACUUGAGUGCAGAAGAGGAAAGUGGAAUUCCAUGUGUAGCGGUGAAAUGCGCAGAGAUAUGGAGGAACACCAGUGGCGAAGGCGACUUUCUGGUCUGUAACUGACGCUGAUGUGCGAAAGCGUGGGGAUCAAACAGGAUUAGAUACCCUGGUAGUCCACGCCGUAAACGAUGAGUGCUAAGUGUUAGGGGGUUUCCGCCCCUUAGUGCUGCAGCUAACGCAUUAAGCACUCCGCCUGGGGAGUACGACCGCAAGGUUGAAACUCAAAGGAAUUGACGGGGACCCGCACAAGCGGUGGAGCAUGUGGUUUAAUUCGAAGCAACGCGAAGAACCUUACCAAAUCUUGACAUCCUUUGACAACUCUAGAGAUAGAGCCUUCCCCUUCGGGGGACAAAGUGACAGGUGGUGCAUGGUUGUCGUCAGCUCGUGUCGUGAGAUGUUGGGUUAAGUCCCGCAACGAGCGCAACCCUUAAGCUUAGUUGCCAUCAUUAAGUUGGGCACUCUAAGUUGACUGCCGGUGACAAACCGGAGGAAGGUGGGGAUGACGUCAAAUCAUCAUGCCCCUUAUGAUUUGGGCUACACACGUGCUACAAUGGACAAUACAAAGGGCAGCGAAACCGCGAGGUCAAGCAAAUCCCAUAAAGUUGUUCUCAGUUCGGAUUGUAGUCUGCAACUCGACUACAUGAAGCUGGAAUCGCUAGUAAUCGUAGAUCAGCAUGCUACGGUGAAUACGUUCCCGGGUCUUGUACACACCGCCCGUCACACCACGAGAGUUUGUAACACCCGAAGCCGGUGGAGUAACCUUUUAGGAGCUAGCCGUCGAAGGUGGGACAAAUGAUUG
rnacentral:rRNA from 1 species